GUCUUGUAUGCUCCUGAUUUAUCCACGUGUCACGUGACCCCAAAAAACCCUCUCCCCAGAGUUGGUAAUACAAAGACAUGACAACCUCCCUCUGGCUUCAGCCUUACAGCAAAACAGCCAGAGGCAUGCAAACCUUAAAACAUGCUAUGCGUUUUUCCACUUUUGACCCUCCAAAUUUACUUAAUUCACAUGCAAGCACCACUCUUUCGUUGCUCUCGAGUUUAUUCUUUGCUUCAAAUAUUUUGACUUUCUUUAAUGGCGGGACCGGAAACAGAAACAGGACUAGCAGCCCCGGACGUGGAAGCAGUGUUGGAUUUUCUACGCAAAAAUGGGUUGAAGGACGCAGAGUUGGCUCUUAAAGAGGACAUGAAUGAGAGAAACACUGAAUUGGGUUCCUUUGACUUUGAGAAGUUCUUGUUUGUCUUGCCACCCGUGAGGAUUCAGGCGAAUGGGCGGCUACUGGAGGUCGAAGGAUUUGGCGGCGGUGGCGAGAGGUUGCAACCGAGUUCUGGUUCUCUGUCGGCCGAUGAGUUUGUUAGCUUGGGGUCCUCUACUACUGCCAGCGGUGUGUACUCUUCAGGUAAGUUCUCAAAUCCAUAUGGACUUCAUUCUCCAUCUCAGGCUAAUUCAAAAACUUCAUCUGAUAGGCUGUCUCAGUUUGGCACAGCGUGUGAUUACCGUGAUUUUGACUUGCAAAAUGACUUUUGUUGGUAUGAUGAGAAAGAGGAUGGCCACUUCAUGACUCCCUGCUUCAAUGGGCCAGACUACUUUAGCUGUCCGAGUGAGGAUAAGUUUGUCAUGACAUCAGAGACUGAGAAGCAGUUUGAAAACUACUUGGGUUUGUAUGAUAAAUCUGAAGGUGAAACUGAAGGAACAGCUGGUUACUUGGAUAAGCAGUGUCUUUUCAACAUCACGUCUGUGAAUAAUAAAAACAAGGCUCACUCUAUGAGUUAUUAUCAUUUUGAUAUAAGAAACCAGCUUGAAGGAGACAUUGAGGGGGAUGGUAGUUCAGCCUCCAAUUGCAAAUGCUGUGAAAAAACAGGAGGGACUUACAGCAAGAAUCCUGUUGACUAUAUCUACUUGAGCUCUAAAGAAACUGAUUUAGGUGACUUUCAGCUAAAAGGUGGGGAAGGCCUUGCUGAUUAUGAUAUAGCCCAUGUGCACAUGGGAAACGAGAAUGCUAAUUACUAUUGUAAAAAAGGUCUCAACAGUGACUGGAUUGAAGGGUUUAAGAGUACCUCUGACAUCAUAGAAAAUGUAAUUGAUGACUUUGAAGUCGGAGAUGGUGGAGAAGUAAAUGGAGAAGCCCACGAGCUUGAGGCUGCUAUAGGUGGAGAAGAUAUUGAUGCUGCCGAACUUUUGAUGUACUAUAACCAGGAGGAUGAAUAUGAAGUAUUCAAUCUGCGAGUUAUACACAGGAAAAACAGGACUGGAUUUGAGGAAAACAAGGAUCUGCCCAUUGUGCUAAAUACUGUCAUUGCUGGCAGAUAUUAUGUCACGGAAUACCUAGGUUCAGCUGCUUUCAGUAAGGUCAUUCAGGCACAUGAUCUUCACACAGGAAUGGAUGUUUGCUUGAAGAUUAUUAAAAAUGACAAAGAUUUCUUUGAUCAGAGUCUAGAUGAAAUUAAACUUCUGAAGAUAGUCAACAAGCAUGAUCCGGCGGAUGAACAUCACAUUUUGCGCCUUUAUGACUACUUCUAUCAUCAAGAGCAUCUCUUCAUCGUUUGUGAACUCCUUAAGGCGAACCUGUAUGAAUUUCAGAAAUUUAGUCAAGAAUCAGGUGGAAAAGCUUAUUUCACUUUGAGCAGAUUGCAGGUCAUAACCCGUCAAUGUUUGGAGGCACUAGAAUACUUGCAUCACCUGGGAAUUAUUCACUGUGAUUUAAAGCCUGAAAACAUUCUUAUAAAGAGUUAUAGGAGAUGUGAGAUAAAGGUUAUUGAUCUUGGAAGCAGUUGCUUUAAGUCAGACAACUUGUGCCUGUAUGUUCAAUCUCGUUCCUACAGAGCCCCUGAAGUCAUUCUAGGUCUCCCCUAUGACCAGAAGAUUGACUUAUGGUCUCUUGGCUGCAUCUUGGCUGAGCUGUGCUCUGGGGAAGUGCUCUUUCCAAAUGAUGCCGUUGUAAUGAUCCUCGCACGCAUGAUUGGUAUGCUGGGUCCUAUUCAUCCAGAGAUGUUGGUGAGGGGACAGGAAACGCACAAGUACUUUACAGAAGAAUACGAUUUGUAUUAUUCAAAUGAGGAGACAAAUCAAAUGGAAUACCUUAUUCCUGAAGAGUCCUCACUGGAGCAUCAUCUACAAAUUUCUGAUGUUGGAUUCAUUGAUUUCAUGAGAAACUUGCUUGAGCUCAAUCCCCUGAGGCGACUAACUGCAAAGGAGGCACUAGAGCACCCAUGGCUUUCACAUUCUUACUGAAGUUCUGGAUGAGUUUAACACUCUUGACUAUGUUUAUGUCUCUUGUUUCUGGAAGGCAUCCUUCCAGUAUCAGUUUUGGUUUUCAGUGAAGUUUUCUUGCGUUCUCUUUUCUUCCUUCACUUGGUGGGGCUUGUAAGUAUCAUUUGAUUGGGAAUGUACCUCCAGAGCUGUCAACGAGCGUGCAGUGCUUUCAAAAGGCCACAUAAAUCUAUGUCUUUUCAAUGCAAAUGCGUUUUUAUACCCUGCCCAGCAGCGGUUUUUGUUUCUGUGGUUCAAUAAAAACAUCAAAUCUAUUUUUUUUU